rnacentral:rRNA from 1 species
GACGAACGCUUGCGACGUGCCUAAGAAAUGCAAGUCGAGCGAGGUUGAGGAGCUUGCUCCGAAAACCUAGCGGCGAACGGUCGCGUAACACGUAAGCAACCUGCCCUGAAGUGGGGGAUAGCCCGCCGAAAGGCGGAUUAAUACCGCAUGUGGACGCCGUUUCGCAUGAAAUGGCGUCUAAAGCAGCAAUGCGCUUCAGGAUGGGCUUGCGGCCUAUCAGCUAGUUGGUAGGGUAACGGCCUACCAAGGCGACGACGGGUAGCUGGUCUGAGAGGAUGGUCAGCCGGACUGGGACUGAGACACGGCCCAGACUCCUACGGGGGGCAGCAAUUAGGAAUCUUGCGCAAUGGGCGAAAGCCUGACGCAGCGACGUCGCGUGACCGAUGAAGUCCUUCGGGAUGUAAAGGUCUUUUGCAGGGGAAGAAGGAUGUGACGGUACCCUGCGAAUAAGCCCCGGCUAACUACGUG